UCCCCUAGUAACUGCGAGUGAAGCGGGAAAAGCUCAAAUUUAAAAUCUGGCGGUCUCCGGCCGUCCGAGUUGUAAUCUAGAGAAGUGUUAUCCGCGCUGGACCGUGUACAAGUCUCCUGGAAUGGAGCGUCAUAGAGGGUGAGAAUCCCGUCUUUGACACGGACUGCCAGGGCUUUGUGAUGCGCUCUCAAAGAGUCGAGUUGUUUGGGAAUGCAGCUCAAAAUGGGUGGUAAAUUCCAUCUAAAGCUAAAUAUUGGCGAGAGACCGAUAGCGAACAAGUACCGUGAGGGAAAGAUGAAAAGAACUUUGGAAAGAGAGUUAAACAGUACGUGAAAUUGCUGAAAGGGAAACGCUUGAAGUCAGUCGCGUUGGCCGGGGAUCAACCUUGCUUUUGCUGGGCGUACUUUCCGGUUGAUGGGUCAGCAUCAAUUUUGAUUGUUGGAUAAAGUCUUGGGGAAUGUGGCAUCUUAGGAUGUGUUAUAGCCCUUGGUCGCAUACAACGGUUGGGAUUGAGGAACUCAGCACGCCGCAAGGCCGGGUAUUUAUACCACGUUCGUGCUUAGGAUGCUGGCAUAAUGGCUUUAAUCGACCCGUCUUGAAACACGGACCAAGGAGUCUAACAUGCCUGCGAGUGUUUGGGUGGAAAACCCGAACGCGCAAUGAAAGUGAAAGUUGAGAUCCCUGUCGUAGGGAGCAUCGACGCCCGGACCAGAUCUUUUGUGACGGAUCCGCGGUAGAGCAUGUAUGUUGGGACCCGAAAGAUGGUGAACUAUGCCUGAAUAGGGUGAAGCCAGAGGAAACUCUGGUGGAGGCUCGUAGCGAUUCUGACGUGCAAAUCGAUCGUCAAAUUUGGGUAUAGGGGCGAAAGACUAAUCGAACCAUCUAGUAGCUGGUUCCUGCG
rnacentral:rRNA from 1 species